AGUGAACGCUGGCGGUGGGCCUAACACAUGCAAGUCGAACGGCAGCACAGUAAGAGCUUGCUCUUACGGGUGGCGAGUGGCGGACGGGUGAGGAAUACAUCGGAAUCUACUUUUUCGUGGGGGAUAACGUAGGGAAACUUACGCUAAUACUGCAUACGACCUACGGGUGAAAGCAGGGGAUCUUCGGACCUUGCGCGAUUGAAUGAGCCGAUGUCGGAUUAGCUAGUUGGCGGGGUAAAGGCCCACCAAGGCGACGAUCCGUAGCUGGUCUGAGAGGAUGAUCAGCCACACUGGAACUGAGACACGGUCCAGACUCCUACGGGAGGCAGCAGUGGGGAAUAUUGGACAAUGGGCGCAAGCCUGAUCCAGCCAUACCGCGUGGGUGAAGAAGGCCUUCGGGUUGUAAAGCCCUUUUGUUGGGAAAGAAAAGCAGCAGGUUAAUACCCCGCUGUUCUGACGGUACCCAAAGAAUAAGCACCGGCUAACUUCGUG
rnacentral:rRNA from 1 species